CUUCAUCAGAGAGAGGAGGCGAGUGCUGUUUUUGUGUGCGCGGCCAUCUUUGCUUUCUGGUCCAGGCUCGUCCGUUCGUCGUCGUCCGCGUCAGAGGGGAAAAAACGGGAAUUUGGCCGGGAUUUUCGCGUUCCGAGUGUGUGGCUCCGGUGAGAAAGUGGUCCGGCGAGGGCCGUCGAAACGGUGCGACCGAAAGCAGCAGUGACAAAACCGGUGGCGCGUUCGAAGAAAAGUGAAACAUACAAAACGACUAAAAGUUGGUUUAUAGUUUGUUGAAGUGAGCAAAACCCAAACAGUAACAAAAAGCUUGGCGUAAAUAAGUAAAGUGCUUGUGCUCUGCGAAGAAAGUGGUAACAACACGCCGUGAAUAUAUGAGGAAAACAAGUCGUCGCAAAAGGCGAAAAAAAAGGCAGAAAGCAGAAGCAAGCAAGGAAGGUGGCAUUCAAAUGUGUCGUUUUGGUUUGCGAAGCAAAAGUGUAGUGAAGUCGCCAGUCGAAAGUUUCGCCCCGAAAAACGGCCAACCGAAGCAGUAGCAGCAGCAACAACAAUGAUUGUUGUGGUGGUGAAAAUUUGCUGAAUAGUGUUUUGGAGCCUUUUUUUCUUUCUUCUUGAACAUUUUUUUUCCAAUUUGCUUGAACGUAAUUUCGUGCAACGAUAAGACCCCGGAAGUGUGUGUAAGCGUGCGGUGUGGUUCCAGGUGUAAGCACGGGAAUCUAGCGGAAUAUUAACCUGCAAAACAAAGAACCUUCGCUCGAACAGGGUUCAACGACGACGAAGCCAGGCUAGGCGAAUACCACCGAUGAGUCUGAGGUCAACCGGCGCGCGGUGCGGUCAAACCAAGGCAAAUCUACUACAACUACUACUACUAUAAGGCAGCACUUUAUCACUGGCCGUCCAAUCCUUCCGGAAUCGCUCCGUGGGUUCGUGGCCGCGAAUCAGCAGCCUGCAGCAGCCAUGUGGAGUUCAAGUAAUGGAUCGGGAGGAGGAGGAGGUGGCGCUUCGGCGACGGCGGCCGCAGCAGCAGCAUCGGCUGGCAGCAACAAAACUCUGGGCAUGACUUCGGCCAUCAGCUUGGCGGAACCGAAGCCGGAAGAUCACACCAAGACGGUGGAGCUGCAGAAGGCGCUCGAGCCGUACAACGUGUUCGAGGACGAGUCCGAGCUGAACCACCGGAUGGAGAUUCUGUCCAAGCUGAACACGCUGGUCAAGCAGUGGGUGCGCGAUGUGUCCAUCUCGAAGAACAUGCCGGAGGCGCUGGCCGAGAAGCUCGGCGGGAAGAUCUACACGUUCGGGUCGUACCGGCUGGGCGUGCACCACAAGGGGGCCGAUAUUGACGCGCUGUGCGUGGCGCCGCGCAACAUCGAACGGCAGGACUACUUUGGGUCGUUCUUCGAGCUGCUGAAGAAGCAGCCCGAGGUGACGGAGUGCCGCGCCGUCGAGGAGGCGUUCGUGCCGGUCGUGAAGAUGAACUUUGACGGGAUCGAGAUUGAUUUGCUGUUUGCGCGGUUGGCGCUCAAGGAGAUUCCGGACAACUUUGACCUGCGCGACGAUAUGCUGCUGAAGAAUCUGGACCCCAAGUCGGUGCGCAGUCUGAACGGGUGCCGCGUCACGGACGAGAUCCUGCGGCUGGUGCCGAACAUUGACAACUUUCGGCUGGCGCUGCGCUCGAUCAAGCUGUGGGCGAAGAAGCAUGGAAUCUACUCCAACUCGUUGGGUUACUUUGGAGGUGUGUCGUGGGCUAUGCUGGUGGCGAGGACGUGCCAGCUCUACCCGAAUGCCGUCGCGGCCACGCUGGUGCACAAGUUCUUUCUGGUGUUUUCGCGCUGGAAGUGGCCCCAGCCGGUGUUGCUGAAGCAGCCGGACACCGUGAAUCUGGGCUUUCAAGUGUGGGAUCCGCGGGUGAACGUGCAGGACCGGUUCCACCUGAUGCCGAUCAUCACGCCGGCGUAUCCGCAGCAAAACUCGACCUUCAACGUGUCCAGCUCGACGCGGAAGGUCAUGCUGAACGAGUUCAACCGCGGCAUGCAGAUCACGGACGAAAUCAUGCUCGGCAAGGCCGGCUGGGACAAGCUGUUUGAGGCGCCCAGCUUCUUCUUCAAGUAUCGCCACUUUAUCGUACUGCUGGUGACCUCGAACAACGCCGACGACCACCUCGAGUGGUGCGGACUGGUCGAGUCCAAGAUCCGCUACCUGAUCCAGAACCUGGAGCGAAAUCUGCACAUCAACCUGGCCCACGUCAAUCCGAAGUGCUUCGAGCAGCAGGAGCAAAAUCAGAAAGACGACGGCGGCGAGGGCGGAAAGACGACACUCUGCUCGCUCUGGUUCAUCGGGCUGGAGUUUGAGCGGUCAGAGAACCUGAACGUGGACCUGACCGAAAGCAUCCAGAACUUUACCGAUGCCGUGCACAAACAUGCGGUGCACAUCAAGGUCCUCAAGGACGGCAUGAAGAUCGAGGCGCGGCACGUCCGGCGGAAGCAGCUCAACCAGUACCUCGACCCGAACCUGCUCAAGCGGGAGCGCAAAAAUUCCGAUUCGGGACUGGGCUCGACGGCGCUCAACACGAGCGGCGGUGCCGCAGCGGGCAACAACACCAGCGGCGGAACGACCCUUCGCAAGCGACAGUCCUCGGAGGCGCUCCAGGCGGCUGUCGCCAGCAAAAAAGGAAGGAACGAUUCCUUCGACCAUUCGCUGUCGAAUUCCUCCUCGUCGCAGCAGUCGUCCAUCUCGACGACCACGACGACGGCACCCGCGCCCACACCAUCCGCCGAGGCGCCGGCCAACGGUGACGGCGAAGCCGUCGUCGGUGCCGAAAGUGCUGAUGCCGCCGCCUCCGCCGUGCUAACCCUGGACGAGUCUUCGUCGGAGAUGAACCAGGUGCCCAACUCGACGACGACGACGGCGACUCCGGCGCCAGCACCGGCUCCGGAAGUGGUCUGCUCCUGACGGCCCCCGCCGAAUCCGUUCCGAAAGGUGAACCAUACCGCCAACGGGGGCGGUGGAGGAGGAGGAGGCGGUACCGGAAGCGGCAGCAGCAGCAGCUACCCGAACACCACCACGAGCCGGGUACAGUUUGCCGAAGUUCAAUCAUCGUAGAUGGAUGAUCGACUUGCUCCCGAGAAAGAACCCCAGAACACAAUUGAAACAUAUGAUUAUUAUGUGCAGAAGAGGUAAGAAAGUGAAGAAAUCGAACUCUAAAUAUUCAAACGGACGAUUUGGGAAAUUGACGAGGUAGCAGCGUAAGGGAUUUAAACAAACAAAGUAAAAUCUUAACACACAUUGAAGAGAGAAAAAAAAAGAGAUUGACAAAAAAAAACUUAUCAUAAAUGUGAAAAAAGAACAUUCUGUAAAUAGUUACAAAAAAUAUCAACUCAAGCAUAACUUUUGGUAGGAUCAGCCCGUCAGGAGUUUUUGUUUCGUAAGACAGUAAGAUUUAUACUACCUUUUAUUUAUACUAAAAACACACUACACACACAUAAUAACAAUCAUAAUUUUUGUUUUAGUUUCAUAAAGUCUCACUUUCCAGCAAGAAAGUGAGCCAUUUAAGUGCGCUCGCGCGCGCUCAGCUAUUGUUCUCAUUUUUAUAUAAACACGAGAAAGAGCUGGAUUAUGAUUUUUUGUUUAAACAGCUAACACACACUUUUUUUUCACACACACUUACAAAAUUCACCAACCAAACAGACAGAGGAAGAAGAAAACUACUUUCGACACUAUAGUUGCGAUCAAAAAGUGCAAUCAUUCGUAGUUUUGUGAAGACACAGUUUGAAAAGAAAAUCAGAAUUACUGAAUUAUUGAAGAUUUGCUGGAAGAGGAAAAAAAUACUAGAACAGAAACAAAAAAAAAUACGCAGAGACAGUUGAAUGUUUAGCAGAUUAUUUGUUAGUGGUACAUUUUCACGCGUAGAGUUUCCGAUUGGAAGGAAAAGCAAAGCCCCCUUUUUGGCGAGGGAGAAGAGAAAGAAGAGCAUAUUUUACGUAACAACAUAUUUGUAAAUAGUAAAACACACCAUUCACUAUGGCUAUUUUCCACACACACACAAACUGGGGGGCAAGUAAAAUUACUUGCAGUAGAGAAAUGCCGAGCUGAGAGAAGAAUUCGAGGGAGAAACAUCUGUAAUUGAACUUAUAUUAAUUUACUUAAAUAAAAAAUGCAGAGACGGGAAAAAGUAAUUCAUUGAAGAGAGUAACAACUUUAAAAAUGAAAUCAUUAAAAUGUCUGUGAAAUUUAAAUUUUUACCGUGAAAUGGAUCAAAUGACAAAAGCAUCUAAAUAUCAAGGUUGUUAACGAUAAAAUAAUCGAGGUUCGAUAACGAUAACGAUAGUUCUAUCGUUAUCGUUAUUCCGAUAAUUCUAUCGGCGCUAAUUUGAUCAUCGAAAACGGACGAUAACUUAUAUUUAAUAUAUUUCUAAAAUUGACUAAAACCAACCAACUUAUGUUGAAUUUUCAAGCUUCCUCUUAGUAAUUUUUUUUUGAUAAUAUGGUAAGUUUCAAAGUAUAAAUACUAACAAAAAAAUCACAGAAUACCGUAUUUUUUGAAAAUACUAACAUUUUUCUAAUUUGCAAUAUGGGUAUCAAACGAUUCGAAAUUUUUGCAUGUUUUUUACUGUUUAAGAGUUUUUUGAAUGAAAUACUAAAAUUUUCACAUAAUACCGUAUUUUCUCGAAAAUACUCAAAUUUUUAUGAUUCGCAAUAUGGUUAUCAAACGAUUCGAAAUUUUGCAUGUAUUUUAACUGUUUUAGAGUUUUUUGAAUGAAAAAGCAGGUAAAAUUUCGCUUCGUUUGAUACCCAUAUUGCAAAUCAUGAAAAUUUGAGUACUUUAAAAAAAUACGGUAUUUUGUGAAAAUUUUAGUAUUUCAUUCAAAAAACUCUAAAACAGUUAAAAUACAUGCAAAAUUUCGAAUCGUUUGAUACCCAUAUUGCGAAUUAUAAAAAUUUGAGUAUUUUCGAGAAAAUACGGUAUUUUGUGAAAAUUUGAGUAUUUCAUUCAAAAAACUCUAAAACAGUGAAAAUGCAUGCAAAAUUUCGAAUCGUUUGAUACCCAUAUUGCGAAUUAUAAAAAUUGAGUAUUUUCGAGAAAAUACGGUAUUUUGUGAAAAUUUGAGUAUUUCAUUCAAAAAACUCUAAAACAGUGAAAAUACAUGCAAAAUUAAGAAUCGUUUGAUACUCAUAUUGCAAAUUAUAAAAAUAUGAGUAUUUUUGAAAAAAUACAGUAUUUUGUGAAAAUUUUAGUAUUUUAUUCAAAAAACUCUAAAACAGUUAAAAUACAUGCAAAAUUUCGAAUCGUUUGAUACCCAUAUUGCGAAUUAUAAAAAUUUGAGUAUUUUCGAGAAAAUACGGUAUUUUGUGAAAAUUUUAGUAUUUCAUUCAAAAAUUCUAAAACAGUGAAAAUGCAUGCACAAUUUCGAAUCGUUUGAUACCCAUAUUGCGAAUUAUAAAAUUUUUAUUAUUUUCGAGGAAAUACGGUAUUUUGAGAAAAUUUUAGUGUUUCAUUCAAAAAACUCUAAAACAGUGAAAAUGCAUGCAAAAUUUCGAAUCGUUUGAUACCCAUAUUGCGAAUUAUAAAAAUUUGAGUAUUUUCGAGAAAAUACGGUAUUUUGUGAAAAUUUUAGUAUUUCAUUCAAAAAACUCUAAAACAGUUAAAAUACAUGCAAAAUUUCGAAUCGUUUGAUACUCAUCUUGCAAAUUUUAAUUUUUUUAGUAUUUUCGAGAAAAUACGGUAUUUUGUGAAAAUUUGAGUAUUUCAUUCAAAAAACUCUAAAACAGUGAAAAUGCAUGCAAAAUUUCGAAUCGUUUGAUACCCAUAUUGCAAAUCAUGAAAAUUUGAGUACUUUAAAAAAAAUACGGUAUUUUGUGAAAAUUUGAGUAUUUCAUUCAAAAAACUCUAAAACAGUUAAAAUACAUGCAAAAUUUCGAAUCGUUUGAUACCCAUAUUGCGAAUUAUAAUUUUUUUAGUAUUUUCGAGAAAAUACAGUAUUUUGUGAAAAUUUGAGUAUUUCAUUCAAAAAAAUCUAAAACAGUGAAAAUACAUGCAAAAUUUGAAAUCGUUUGAUACCCAUAUUGCAAAUCAUGAAAAUUUGAGUACUUUAAAAAAAUACGGUAUUUUAUGAAAAUUUUAGUAUUUCAUUCAAAAAAUUCUAAAACAGUGAAAAUACAUGCAAAAUUCCGAAUCGUUUGAUACCCGUAUUGUAAAUUAUAAUAAUUUGAGUAAUUUCAUACGGUAUUUUGUGAUUUUUUGUAGUAUUUAUAUUUUGAAAGUUACCACACUGACGUCGUCAGUGGUUACCAUAUCAAAAAAAUAAUUACUUAGAAGAAGCAUGAACAUUCAACAUGAUUUGGUUGGUUUUAGUCAAUUCUAGAAAUAUAAUAAAUCUCGAUUAAAUUUUCAAAAGGCCCUAUCUGCAUAGGAAACCCAUGAGGGAUAGGUUGUUUUGAAAAUUUAAUCUAGAAAUAUAAGUUAUCGUCCGUUAUCGUCGAUAAAAUUAUCGCCGAUAGAGUUAUCGGAAUAACGAUAAGGCCGAUGCAAAUAUUUAAAAAAGUUUUUGUCCCUCGGCCCUGACCGAGGUCAAGGGGGGGGGGGCAAAAAAAUAAAAAAAUAUAAAAAUUUAAAUAACAAGCCAUAGUCUUCACAUUUAAAUGAAAAAGGUGUUUUAAAAUCCAUUUUACACUAGUUCAGUUGUUUUGCAAUCAUUAGUUUUCAAAAAAUCUAAGAUCUGACAAAAACAAAAAUUGUAUCGAAAAAAAAGAUUUUGCAUCGAAAAUUUUCAAAAAAUCUUAAGAUUUUUUAAUAAACCCAAACAUGCUAAAAAUGAUUUUAAACGCAGAAGAAUGUAUUUUAAUUUGAUUUCAGCUGGUUGCACUUGAAUUUUCAUUGAAAUUUUGAAGUUUACUGUAAAAAUAUUUUUUUGCCCCCUGAUUUUUCGGGCCAAUUUUGAAGGGGGGGGGGUGACAAAAACUUUUAAAAAUAUUUGUACCAGCCUAACGAUAUAUUAUCGUUAUCGUCCCAACGACAACGAUUAUCGUUUUCGUUAGACGAUAAUAUUAUCGACGAUAAUUCUAUCGAUUAACAACCUUGCUAAAUAUAUUUGAAGAAAAGGAAUACUUAUCGAAAAUUCUCUAAUAAAAAAGAUCAUUCAAACAUUGAUAAAAUUUAGAUGAAAAACAAUUCAUAAAAAAAACAUAAUUAAAGGGAAGGCAGCAAAAGAAAACAAGUCCCAAAUAAAUGAAACAAAAAAAAACAUAAAGAAAAACACAAGAACAGGGAACCACAGAGGAAGCUCACCGCAAAAAAAAGAAAACAAAAAAAAGAAAUAAAACAAAAGUUGAGCCCUUUUGGUCCACCCUGCUUCCUGUGACAAAGUGAAACUUCUUAACAACCAACCUGUGUAAGAUUCGAUGUAACGACCCAAAAUCAAAUUUCGGAGAAAGAGUUUCAAUAAAGGUAUAUUUAUCCACGUUUCGCCAGAAAGAAAACAAAACAA